AUGAUGGUUCUCUAGUGGAGGAGAUCCAACAGUUCGUUAGUUCAGGACGUCUCUCCAUAGAUAAACUGUCUCCUGCUCAGUGGUCUGCUCUGGUCUUCAUCUUACUGUCAUCAGAAGAUCUGGAAGAGUUUGACCUAAGGAAAUACUCUCGUUCAGAGGAGGCUCUUCUGAGGCUGCUGCCAGUGAUCAAAGACUCCAACAAAGCUCUACUGAGUCGCUGUAACCUGUCAAAGAGAAGCUGUGCAGCUCUGUCUUCAGUUCUCAGCUCUCAGUCCUCCAGACUCAGAGAUCUGGACCUGAGUUACAACGACCUGCAGGAUUCAGGAGUGAAGCUGCUGUCUGCUGGACUGGAGAGUCCACACUGUAAACUGGAGACUCUCAGGUCAGAUUUCAUUCAGUUACUAAAAUCAGACCCUCCAGGAUUUUGCACAACAUUUUUAUGACUGUUGCGGCCUAAAACUCCUGAUGUUGCUGUAGCUUUUGUGAAAAGUUGCAAUGUUUUUAAAUAUGUAUUUUUCCAAAAAGCACCAAAAAAGUUAUUAGAAAAUCAACUUUGUGUGUAACCGUAAACUUUCUGUGGUGUAUUCACAUGUACACUUAAAUAUCAGAAACGUACAAAUGAAAAGUUCAAUUUAAACAUACACAACAUGAAAUUACACCAUCGUACAACUAUGAAUUUAAAAUGGUUUCUACUCGUACAAAUCUUUAUAGGGGGCGAUGUUUCUUUUAGAGAAAACUAUAUGGAAACAUAAGAUCAAAUGAUAGCUGUGGAACGCCGAAGAUCAAAAUAUUUAUGAAAUAUUGGAUAUUUUUAUGAGUUUUUUUCCUACCUAGAAGUAAGACAACUUGAUCUCUGAAGCUCCGCCUUUCAUUCAGUCAAAGCUAAUGGGUACCGCCCAUUUCAUGACAUCAACCUAUAGUCAGCCUCGUUAGCAUGUGUGUGUUUUGCCCUCAAAGAACAAACAACAUCUAAAACUCUUCCAAAGAAGGUCAUGUACAUAUUGUACUUUUAAAAUAAAAGCGUUGCGUCGAGCACUGCUAGCUCCACAGAGAAAACAGGGUUGUGUUUGUUAGCCUGGGGGCGGAGCUGGAAGUGCAGACUCUUCCUGGAAGGAGCUGUUCUCACUUAUCUACCUCACAUUGUGAGGACCUGCUUGUUUUUGUGAGUUUGGAGGAGCUGGUGCUCAGAGAGCAGUUUUAGAGAAAUGCUCAGAAAUGCAUGAAUGGAUCAAAAUACCGCUUUGAGGCUGUUUUUGAAGAAGAAUGACCAUUAUAAUACACUUAAAAGCUCAAAAAAGCUGAUUUUGCAUGAUAAAAUUCCUUUAAAUAUUAUUCACUAGGGAUUCAACAAUAGAGUUUGCUCACAGUUCGAUACGUAUUGAACCAAAAAAA